rnacentral:tRNA from 1 species
GAGGGUAUAGCUCAUGUAGUAGAGUGCGUGCUUAGCGUGCAUGAGGUCCUGGGUUCAAUCCCCAGUUCCUCA